GGCGGUCGUCUUUAAUCAGCCAUCCUCCCCACUACGUCGCUGCCGUCAGAUGCGGCAGUGAGGUAUGCAGCCCAGAUGUGAUAAGAGAAGAAGAUGAUGGUGGAAACGAUGAGGUCUGAAAGUGGGUGAGUGAAAGUGAACAUGAUCUGGUCAUUUGGAUGAUUUUGGGUGAGAAAGUGUGAGCGAUUAAGAUGAAUGUGAAAGGGAGGGUGAGAGUGAGGGUUCGUUGA
rnacentral:lncRNA from 1 species